CAGUAGCCGCGGUAAUACGGAGGGGGCUAGCGUUGUUCGGAAUUACUGGGCGUAAAGCGCACGUAGGCGGCUUGGUAAGUUAGAGGUGAAAGCCUGGAGCUCAACUCCAGAAUUGCCUUUAAGACUGCCGAGCUAGCAGGUGAGAGAGGUAAGUGGAAUUCCGAGUGUAGAGGUGAAAUUCGUAGAUAUUCGGAAGAACACCAGUGGCGAAGGCGGCUUACUGGCUCAUACUGGACGCUGAGGUGCGAAAGCGUGGGGAGCAAACAGGAUUAGAUACCCGGGUAGUCCCUGUCUCUUAUAC
rnacentral:rRNA from 1 species